CCUACGGGCGGCAGCAGUGGGGAAUAUUGCACAAUGGGGGAAACCCUGAUGCAGCGACGCCGCGUGAGUGAAGAAGUAUUUCGGUAUGUAAAGCUCUAUCAGCAGGGAAGAAAAUGACGUUACCUGAUUAAGAAGCCCCGGCUAACUACGUCCCAGCAGCCGCGGUAAUACGUAGGGGGCAAGCGUUAUCCGGAUUUACUGGGUGGAAAGGGAGCGUAGACGGCAGCACAAGUCUGGAGUGAAAUGCCGGGGCUUAAGCCCGGAACGGCUUGGGAAACUGUGCAGCUAGAGUGCAGGAGAGGUAAGUGGAAUGCCUGGUGUAGCGGUGAAAUGCGUAGAUAUUAGGAGGAACACCAGUGGCGAAGGCGGCUUACUGGACUGUAACUGACGUUGAGGCUCGAAAGCGUGGGGAGCAAACAGGAUUAGAUACCCGAGUAGUC
rnacentral:rRNA from 1 species